AGGAGGUACACGCCAGCCAGCCUCCCUACUUUUCUCUCAAACUCUCCAUAUAUAUCUUGUUUAAUUACGUAUUACCUAACAGUAGAUGUGUAUGUUAAUUUAAAAAAAAAAUAAGAGAGGAUACUGAAGCAACAAUUAGUGUGAAACACAAGAAUAAGUUAAGAAUAAGCUUCCCGCCUCAACUUUGCUGAAUCAGACGCCAAUCUCUCUCUCCACAAUAACAAAUCCCGAGAUAAGAGAAUGAGAUGUGAGCGCGGGCAUGGCGCUCACCCUACGCAGAUUUACAUAUAGAUGAACAAAUCCACAAGGGCCGUAAUGAGGGUUCGAACCUACGUCCCAGAGGAUCCCAGACGCGCCUUAAUCGACUGUGCUACGACAUGGUUAAAAGAAUUGCAACCGAGAGUUCAACUGACCUCACACGGAUUGACUCCGUGACCAAUAUCGCAUUUGUCUAGACCUGACUAUCAGGUGUGAAGAGCCCCAGUGGUAAUUGGUAUGGGAUGCAUUACCUCUCAAUGUGUAUGGGGUCCAUUACCACCCACGGGAUGUGUACGAUGGGAUGAGGUCCACCACCGCCCACAGGAUGGGCAUGAGGUCAAAUACCGCCCACAGAAUGGGUAUGGGAUCAACCACCACCCACAGGAUAUGUAUGGGGUGUAUAAUAAAUGAACUAAACCAAACGUUUCUUGUAUUUCAUUUUGAAGUUGCUUAUUGAGCUUGCUUUGACAAUGUUUUCUUGUUCGUUUCACUUGCUUUCAGAGAUACACAGUCUCUGUCCUCCAUUCUGAGUUGUCAAUGUCACAGAAAUGCAAAUACUGCAGAAGACUUAUUGGUCCAUGCAAGGCAACUCCUAUUUAUAUCCAAUCAAACAUUCACACAUGUCUAACCUAAGUUUGAAACACUAACCUACGCUUAAAACAUUCCUAACCUACGCUUGAAACCUUCCUAGCCUACGCUUGAAACAUUCUUAAUCUGCGCUUGAAACAAAUCAAAUACAUACUCUUAAAAUAAUCCAAGCCUACGCUUGAUGCAACAUUCGUUCGACACAAUUUACUUUCACUGAAGCUAUGUUGGUACUCAGAGACAAAGUACAUUUUUUUCUGAAGUACUCCA